AAUGAACGUUGGCGGCGUGGAUUAGGCAUGCAAGUCGAGCGAGAACCCGCAAGGGGGACAGCGGCAAACGGGGUAGUAAUGUGUCGGAACGUGCCCUCUGGACGGGGAUAGCGGCGGGAAACUGCCGGUAAUACCCGAUGAACUCGAGAGAGCAAAGGUGUGAUUCCGCCGGAGGAGCGGCCGACAUGGUAUUAGCUAGUUGGCGGGGUAACGGCCCACCAAGGCUGUGAUGCAUAGGGGAUGUGAGAGCAUGAUCCCCACCAUUGGGACUGAGACACUGCCCAGACACCUACGGGUGGCUGCAGUCGAGAAUCUUCGUCAAUGGGCGAAAGCCUGAACGAGCGACGCCGCGUGCGGGAUGAAGGCCCUUGGGUUGUAAACCGCUGUCGAGGGGGAUGAAGGCAUUCAGGUACUCCUGAAUGUUUGACAGAGCCCUGGAGGAAGCACGGGCUAAGUUCGUGCCAGCAGCCGCCGCGGUAA
rnacentral:rRNA from 1 species